CCCGCCUCAGCCUCCCAAAGUGCCAGGAUUACAGGGAAUGAGUCUCAUGGCCUCACACAGAUGUCAAGGAGCCUGGGAAGUGCCUUGCUGGGAGCCACUUACCAGCUGCAACUGCACUGAAAGACGAGAGAGUAGGGAUCUGGGUGGACAUUGAGUUGCUCCUGCCACCAGGAUCUUAUGUUUAUUCACCGCCAUGGUGACUUGAAUUAUUUUGGAUAGAAGACACUUCAGGAUUAAGGAGAUGCCUUUAAAGCCGAAAGUUUCCAUCUGCGUAGCACCUUGGCUGCAAUUCAUGAGAGUACCCACUUUUAUUUUUUCUGUAAUCUUAGAAGAACACUGGAGAAUACUUUCUGAGUAUAGGUGGGGAUGGAUACCAUUUUCUAACGUUAUUUUUAAUUUUAUUGCAUGGUGGUUAGUGAAUGGAAUGGUAUAUCUUUUGCUCUUUGGAAUCAGUCACAAUUUCCUUUGUAACCUAGUCAGCAGACAGUUUAUAUGAAUGGCUCCUGUGUAUCCUUCAGGAAUGUACAUGAAAUCUUUGUUGGCUACCCAGUCUUGUAAAUAGUUGUCUAUUAAAUUAAACUUGAGGUUUACCAGAUGCCCUACCAGAUAUUUGUUAACCCAGUAUGAGAAGAUAUUCAAAUUCCUUAUAGCCUGAAUUAUUUCUUAUUUAUGUAAUAAGAUGUUACAUUACAAGUUUCAACAGGAGUGCUAAGACACAAUAGACAUUAGAUCACAAAACAAGUUCAGAGAAAGAACCUAGAAAAAACUGUGAUAUUGUAAGAAAACAAUGAAUAUAUGUGAUGUUUGUCCCUUGUUCUUGGCACAAAGCUCAUAAUACCCCAAUAAUUUCCUGAUCGAUAGGGAUGAUAUUUGUUACAAAGUUUGGUCUUGGUCCCCGGUUCCUGACACAAGAGUUUCUAAGAUUCUUGGAAUCUUCAGUGAUGAGAGUGUGUUUUUGUUGUUGUUGUUGUGGUGGUUCCUUACUGCAUUGUAGGAGCCUCUCAUAUAUACAACAUCAGCAGUUUCAGCAGCAGAUGGCACACCAAGGAGCACUUUUUAAAAUUUAUUUCCACAGGUGUUUGUGGAACAGGUGGUAUUUGGCUGCAUGAGUUAGUUCUUUAGUAGUGAUUGUAUGCUUACGAGAUGACUGGUGGCUGGGGGCCCCUAGAGAGCUUCAGGAUGGGGGCUGGUUGCUGGAGAAACCAAGUGUGUGAUUGCAGGGUUAGAACCUUCAACCCCACCUCCCGACCUCCUUCUUUGUUCCAAGGAGGGAAGAGGGGCUGGGGAUGGAAUUAAUCUCAAAUGGUCAAUGACUUAAUCCAUCGUGCCUAUGUAACAAAACCUCCAUCAAAACCUUUAGGCAACAGGGUUGAGAGAGCUUCUAGGCUGCAAACACACGGAGGCACUGGGAGGUAGUACCCCCAGAGAAGGCGUGGAGGCUCCAACCCUUCCCCACACCUGGCCCUACGCAUCUGUGGUUUGGCCACUCCUGAGCGAUAUCUCUCAUAAUAAACUGGUACCAGUGAGUGAGGUGCCUUCCUGAGCUCUGGGAGCCAUUCUAGCAGUCUUGAACCUAAGGAGGGGUUUGUGGGAGUCCCUGAUUUAUACCCAGUCGGUGAGAAGUACAGGAGACCUGGGACUUUCAACCGGGAUCUGAAGGGCAUGGGGGCAGUCUAGUGGGACCGGGCCCUUAACCUGUGGGGUCUGUGCUAACUCUGGGUAGUGUUAGAAAUGAAUUGAAUUGGAGGACAUCCGAUUGUGUCGAGAGAGUUGGAGAAUUGGUUGGUGUGAGGAGAAAACCCCACGCAUUUAGUGUCCGAAGUGUGAGCAGAAAGAGCACAAAAUAAUCAGAUGGAGCAGGGACCCCUCUUAGGAGCCCGCUGACCACUGCCACCCCUACCAGCAUGAAAUGAAGGACAAUCUUAGUCCCUCCAAGGGAAAUUCCAGGCCCCUAGCUAGCCUGAGACGCACACGAGCAACCCGAUGAGCAGAAAGGGAAUAGCAGCUUCACGUCAUGGCCACGGAGGUUGGCCCGAGAUGCCAGUUCCCCACAGCGACUAAAGAUAACAUCUGGACACGUGUCCCUGAGUUGUUCUUCGGAAACCCGGACCCCCCACCAAAAAUCAUGGCAAAAACCAUGAUUACUUUUUCACCAAGCUAAUAUUAUUUCUUCUCUUGAAUUACAUUUUGUCUGAUACUGAUGUUGCUUCUAUUCCUUUUCUUUUGUUUUCAUUUUCCCAGUAUGUAGUUUUUUCAUUCACUUAUUUUCAACCUCUCUGUAAUCAACGUUGGAUUUUUAAGCCCCAUCUGAGCAUUUGCCAUUUAUCAGUAAGUGUAACCGUCGUAUUUAUUGAGAUUGCAGAUUUGUUACACUGACUUCUGCUGUCUUAUUUGAGUUUCCCUUCACUAUGCUUUCUUUGCCAUUUGUCUCCCUUUUAUGACUAGUAAGCAGGAUACAAUCGGCAAUACUGUAGUAACAAACUAGCCCCAAGGCUCAGUGGCUUCUUACAAGAGGCAUUCGUGCUUCCUCCUGCAAUGUCUUCUUCAGGUAAUAUAACAGUCCAGGGCAGCCCCCUCCCUGCAAUGAUACAGGGUUCUAGCCUUUCUCCCAGGGCUGAAACUAGGAUGAGGCAAGUAAAGCACUCCGGAUGCAAAAUUUAAGGAGGUGCUCUUUCUCAGGUUCAUGGUCACCUCGCAAGCCUCACCUUAGUCCUGGCCCUGCUUUUUCCAUCUAGUGGCUGCACUCUUCAACACGAAGCCUACACUGGUUUGCCUCAUACUGAGUAAUUGAGCACCAAAUUUGAUUACAGUGUAGCAAAGGCAAAUUCAUGUCUGCAACUUAAAAAUAAGCUACAAGAGCAGGGCGCGGUGGCUCACGCCUGUAAUCCCAGCACUUUGGGAGG